CAGGACUCCAUUAACCAAAGUCUUUGAGACCUACAUAUGGAAGCGGGUGCCCUUUUAGAUCCAGAAGGGGACAAGAGAGCUGCCUUCUGCUCCACAAGGCUCCCACCCAAGGCUACAAUUAUUAAUAAAAGACAGCAAAAAAUAUAUACUAAAGAAAAAGACAAAUUAACGUGGGAGAAAUGAUAUUUACACAGACGCGAACUAGGUUUACUUCUCCAGGUGUGGUUGUCCCGUUUGGUUAAUAUACCUGUGGUCUCGUUACUGUGUCCAGGUGUGGUUGUCCCGUUUGGUUAAUAUACCUGUGGUCUCGUUACUGUGUCCAGGUGCGUGCCUGCUUCUUAACCUACACAGAACGUUGUGUGGUUGCUAUACUGGUCAGAUGGGUGGAUUGGAGGUUUAACACAUAUUGGUCUUUUAAUCCCUCAACAAGCGUUAGGAAGACUGGCGGCGCCGGACUACUUGGCUCAUGGGUUGAUUGACUGACAAAACUACCAGAGGAACGAGGCAACUCGUGUCGCGGUCUGAAACGGCAUCUUAAUUUCCAGAUAAUUGCAAUACAAAACUAGACCACUGUGAGGAAAAACCUGCCAUUUCAGAAGGAGGCCGUGUUCUCUGUGGCGUACGUUCUCCUGCGAUGGUUUCCGUGACGGAACAAUCCCAACUCUUCAAAUUAAUUUAGUAACUUUACCCCUGAACAGGUAGAGUUACUCUCUGAAGGAAGCCUUAUAGACCUGAGCCACAAAACAGAAACAUUCUAAACAGCAGGCUCAGGUAUGUCUGGGUGUGAAGAACAUACAAUCAACUGAUUAUAAAAUUCUGAGGAAGACAAAGCUCAGAUAAGAGGAAAGUAACAAGACACUUUGUCCCAAAUUGCACACUACUUCUGAACAGAGCUUUAGGUUUCCUUUAAGUAGGGCACUACUUGGGACAUAUUUGGGGGAUGAUGCGCAUAAUGCACACACAAACUGCUAUCAAAGUGAGGAGCGGAAGAUUUGUCCUAUUCCAGAAAACGACAUAACCCCUAACAGUAAGCUUAACCCAACCCUCACCGCAAUUAUCUAACUUUAAGCCUAACUCCAACUCCUAAACAUAACCCUACAACCUAAAGUCUAACAAUGAACAAAAUGAGGAAUGCAAAACUGAGACCGGUCCUCACUAGGAAUAGGAAUUUGAGUACACAUAACUACCCCUCAUAUUUUCUAAGGAAGUACUUAGGAAUCAUUCCAGGAAAAUGAGGGGGGUUUAGUCUUGAUGGAACAGGUUAUUGUGCUAUUGGGUUUCACCUAACUAUUAGCCAGAAUUUAAUAGACACUGCAUGACAAAACAAUUUUACUUGGUCAAUUGACUGUGAUGCACAAGGACAGAAGGGGGGAGGAAUUUGCCUUACCCGUCUCAGGGGAAACAGGUCAGAAUACCUGCACUAGGUGCAUAAAGACAAUGGAAUCCAAAACAGAUUUUUUUUACAUGAAUCUAACAACAUGGCUGCAUGACAGAAAUGUAUCUAGCACUCAAAAAACAUCAACACAGCGUAUUCAAACAAGAAAAUUACUUGACAUUUUGCAAGCCGGCGGUAAACAUUUCCGCCAAAAACCACACUGCUGUAAAAUUAAACAUUGCUUUUUCACAGAGAACGACCAAUCUACCGUCUUCCAUUUCUAUGCUUUCCUAUACAACCCAUGAGCCAAGCACUUCCUGGUAUACACCUGGCCUUUACCACCGAACCGUUUCCACAGCAACCCGGCCCAUUCAUUCCCCCCCCAAAACCCCACCUCCUCCCACAUCUCCCCUCCUCCAUCCAACAGGCGGGUGGCUCUGAAUUUCUAUCGUCCAAAGUCCAAAAGGGGUGCAGGAUUGGGACCUCUCCCCUUUUAUAGUGUAUUUUAAUGGUUUAAUUGUCCUCCAUCUGGCCUGUGGUGCCAUUGUCCCCUUUUCGUUGUUCUCCUCCUCCUCCUCCUCCUCCUCACUCCUGGGCUAUGCUCCGCAGCACAUACUUCACAGUAUAGGCAAAUGCUGCGAAUCCCACAAUAACAAACAAAUUGGCCAAGGCCCCGCCCAGCAGUCCGUGGUUCCGAUUGGCCUGCUGGAGGCCGGGGGCGGGGUUGCCGAGGCCUAUAGGGGCAUGGCCUCCGUUGAGUGCGGGAAUUCCGUAGUUGCCAUGGUGUGGAUCGCCGUCAGGGACCACGUCGGGUAGGGGGAGGGGCUGGGGCCGGGCACUCAAUUCCUCCUGGGCCUUCUGCUUCUGUUUGAUCUCCUGGAGAGGACAGAGGAAAGGUGGGAUGACAAAGAAGGAUGGAGGAAUUUUCACAAAGAACCACAGAUGGAAGAGGUUGGGGAAGAGAGGAGUGUGGAACGGCGGUGGCGAGAGAGAAGAGGAAGAUGGGAGAGAAAAAGAGAGAGGAAGAGAGAGGGAUGUUGUUCACUGAGCAGCUGCGGUGCCUUUAGAAAGUAUUCAGACUCUUUACUUCCUCCACAGUUUUUAUUACAAUUAUUACAAUUCCUGUGCUAAUUAAUGUAUAAUUGGGGGACUGUUGAGAACUGAGGGCAGGAUGAACGGUCCUCAAAAUGGGACAACGCAGAAGAGGCUUGGGGUAAGUGUGUCGGUCCCGAGUCGUCCCUAUUGAACGAGGCUCCCCAUCCAAUCUGAAAGAGCUUGACAGGACCUGCAGGAAGAAUCUGCCCAAACCCAGGUGUGCAAAGUCAGAGGUAGAGGCGUAUCUAGAAAGACUCAAAACUGGGCUCUCUGCACAAGGUGUUUCUCCAAAGUACUGAAUAAAGGGGCUGAAUACUUACACAGAUUAGAUUUUUUUUAGUAAACUGGCUCAAAUUUCUACAAAUGUGUUUCAGCGAUUUCAUUAUGGGAUAUUGUAGUCUACAUAGUGUACAUUAAUGGCAAUAUAAAUGUAUCAGUUCUGAACUUUUGGAGGAGGACGGAUUUAAACAAGAGACCAGGCAAGCCAAGUUCAGCCGGACUGCAAUAAAAAGUAUUGUCCUCUUGAGAUUCAAACCCGGGUCGCCCACGUGAAAGGCUGUCGCUAACCAGAGCUCUACGUUCAACGGGUGUCAGUAUAGCCUCUUGUCUCUAUCCUGAACAAAUCCUCUUUUGCCACUGGCUGUCGCUAAGUCACCAUUGAGCAUUGUGUUGAACUGACUAACGUUUCUUAUUAAGUUUACCGCCACCACAAAAAGCAUCUAUGAAAUGUUAGCUUUUGCCACAGGCCAUUUGAACAGCUUAUUAGCCUGUAAUAGGCUUACUAGUAUCUACUAACUUCCUAGGAAUAAUCAUAAGAAUUAAGCAAUUUCUAGCGAGACUGAAGAUGACCUUUUCAUGCCAGAAACAGUCGCAAUAUAACCAGGUUUCGGUUUUAGCCAGUGAAGUUUUUGUCAAUAAGGAAUCAUUCUAAAUGCGUACUUCGCUUCGCCUGCGAGGAGACACGAACUCGGGACCUACAGUUCACAGGUCCGCUUCUCUAACCACUACGCUAUUUAACAAAGGGUAGUCAGUCAGUCAGUCAGUCAGUCAGUCAGUCAGUAAGAGACAUUCGCUCUUCUUGGCCGGCUCCGCCUACGCGGUCCGGAAAAAACAACAGUCCAGCUGACCAUGUUGGCCGUGUGAUGUACAGAGGCAAGGCUGCUUCUACUAUUCCUCUUCUAUUUUUGUGACUUGUUAAGCUGGACUGACCCAUUCUGGGCUUUAGAAUUAAUCCAAUCAACCCUUACAUUCUACUCCUUCUCAAGCUCUUACAACUCCCAUUCCAACACUAUUUCUGUCAAAUAAAGCAUAAAUGGCUUCUCUAAAAAUAUAUUAUUAACAAUAUGCAAGGUCACUUCUGUGCGCCAGCUACACGCACGUUCUGGUGUAACGGCUGUUUGAUUUCACACAGUAUUCAUAUUUACUAUAGGAUUUCCACUCGCACUCACAUCAACAGCAUCGGGAAACAGCUCACAGAAGACCUUGUCCUUCAGGUUGAAUGCCAAGCUCUGCACUGACAGUUGACGUUUCUGGAGAAUAUACACAAAAUAAGAACUAUUAAUUAUUUUCCAUCGAACAGGCAGG
ensembl:lncRNA